ensembl:lncRNA
UGCUCUCCAACCCCAACCGGCUUACUGUUUUCAGAUACUUAUUGUCAAACCCAUUUUUCCUUCCUACAGAUCCCUUCUGGAGCAAUAGAAGGCAGCCACCCAGAGACUGCAGGAGCCCCAGAAGGAGGGGGACCCACUCCAGGGCAGACAGCCAUUCCAGAAUACCCUGUGGGUGCCUUUCCUGGCUGGCAACCAGAUACCUCAAGCCAAGCAAGCUUCCCACCUGGCUGCCCUUACCAGCAUGUAGACACCACCAAUAGCUGCUGCCUCCAGCCUCCAGCUCUUCCAUUUGGUGUGAUGAGCCCCUUUGCUAACUUGGAAACAAGACUUUAUGGGCCAGCAGGACCAGCAGCAACUGAGCCAGUGCAUGGCUCCAAGACAGCACCAGCCAUGGAUUUUGAGGUAAGCUUGGGGCAAAAGGGAUUGAGGUUUAUAAGGCUAGUACAAACUCUCACUAGGGUUGUAAGGUAAAGGUUUUCCCCUGAGAUUAAGUCUAGUCGUGUCUGACUCUGGGGGUUGGUGCUUGUGGAGAUGUGGAGAUGGAGGGGUUUUUUUUUAUUAAAUUAUCUAAAUUUAUAAUAAAAGUGAAAACCUGUAUGUGUGUAUGUGGCACAGGUGUCCGCUCACACAGACAGCCUCAGGCCUCCACAAACAGGCUACACUUCCCACUUUGGAGAAACCAGCAAGUCACUCCUUUGCACUAACAUUACGGUUACAGCGAGUACCAUGAACAUGCAGCCCAGCCCCUGCCAAUGUCCUUCCCAAACACUACAGCCCACCACCCAAUGAAUGCUUUCAUUUGGGGACUAUUUCAUCCUACAUUUUGCUUUUUCUUCCACCACAGGCAGGCAUCCCAGGGUUCUCAAUUUCUGUGGAAUUUGCAUGGCCCCGCCUACUGCCCUUUUCUUUCAAAUCUGUCUGCAUAACAAAUAGAGCAGAACUGAGCUGCAACUACAUUUACUGGAAGAGUUUGGGGGAUUGACGCCACAUGGCGGAAGUUGUAGUUCACCCCGCACCAAGUCAGAGCACUGUGACCCCGACUGGGAAUGUAGAGGAGUUAUAGUUCACCUACACCCAGAACACUAUGAACCCAAACAAUGAUGGGUCUGGACCAAACUUGCCAUGCAUACCUGAUAUGCCCAGAUUUCAAUGCUGGGGGGAGGGGGGGAUUGGAGGGGAAUUACCCUGCACAUUUGGAAGUCGUAGCUACUGCGAUUUAUAGUUCACCUGCAAUGAAUGAGCAUUCCGAACCCCACCGAUGAUAUACCAGGAACAAACUUGGCACACAGAGCCCCCAUAACCAAUAGAACAUAUUGGACAAGUUUGGGGAAAAGGGAGUUAUAGUUCACCUACAUCCAGAGAAACAGUGACCCCCACCGACAAUGGACCAGGACCAGACUUCACACAGAGAAUCCUUAUGACCAACUGAACAUACUGCAGGGGUUUUGGGGAAUGGGCCUUUAUUUUGGAAGUUGUAGUUCACCUGCACCCAAAGACCACUGAACCCAGCCAAUGACGGAUCUGGAUCAAACUUGACACACAGACUGAACAUUGCCUGCUGUGGAUACUGACAGAUGUUUGGGGGCAAUUAUCCCAGGACUCUGGGAGUUGUAGUCAUUCAGCCCCAUCCAGAGAGUACUUCACCCAGGCGAUGUCCAGCCAACCACAGAUCUGGACCACACUUGGUAUACAGGCCCCAAAAUGGCCAACUUUUCAUACAGGCUGGGUUUGGGGAGGAUUGACCCACGAUUCUGGGAAUUGUAGUUCACCCACUCCAAACAGAAUACAUAACAUUGAAAGACACAUAAUACCAUUCUCAAAUGACCUGGGCACCGCCGGGUCCCCAAGCUAGUAUUAUAUAUAUUUAACUAUAUUUCCGCUGCCACCAGUUAUUAAAGAUGUUUUAUAAUGCUGCCACCAAUUGUGGUGAUCUCAGGCAGAGAGGAAUUUCUUUCUUUCUCUUUUCUUAUUCUUAUUCACUUUAGAUGGUAGCGUUACUUAGUUUUGAAUAUAUGUAACAGAGGCUUAAAUGUUGGAGAACAAUAACAAGUUUAUUUCAGGCACAGAGCUUAGUGGUUACAGUAACUUCUUUAAAGGCACUUAGAUAACGGUUGCAAAGCUAUCAACUGAUCACUUUGGAUCUAACUGGGAUUGCUUCCCCUUACUACUCAGACUCUACAAAUAAACCUAAACAAGUCACCUAACUUGCUUAAUUUAACACAACUAGAGAUCUGAGUUUCCCUGGUAUCCCUAACCUGGAACCAGUGUCUUCCCUGUGACUAAAUCACAGACUAAACUGUUUUUAAAACAUUCCCUCCUUUUCUUCCAAGCGGCGGUUGGCUCCGCCCUUGUUACUAUGGCAACCUGCCUCAGAAUGCUGAGCUGGUUACCAUCCCCCACGCACUGGUAACUAAUACUUAUGCUUUUAAACAUAGCUAAACAUGACUUUUAAAACAAAAUUAAACAUGACAUCUAUAAAUCAAAAUAAAAACACACUUCUUUACAGUGCUCAUCUCCAUUUCUAAGCCAAAGAGCCCACGUUAUCCAUAGACACCUCCAAGGUAAUGUGGCCGGCAUGACUGCAUGAAACGCUGUUACCUUUCUGACAGAGCAGUACCUAUUGAUCUACUCACAUUUAAUUGUGAAUAGUCUUUCUAACUUUAGAGAGGUCAGGAUAAGCAUGCAAUUUGGAAAUCCACCUAAUCAGUUCAUUGUUAUGCUAAGUACAUCACAGGACAGAGGCAAAAGUGGAGUUUUGGGAAAACUCCACAUUUCUCAUGUAAUUCAGUGACCCUGUGCUUUCCACUCCCCUCCUCCUGCACCUGAAGAUACAGGAUUCCCAUUCCCAGCCU